rnacentral:lncRNA from 1 species
GGAAUAGCCAGUGGGAAGGAAGCAAUAUUCAUUAAGAGUGUCUCAUGCAAGCCGCGCAGGCUAAGCAUGCUCAGUGUAAAUUCUCCUGGAGUCUGUCAAGCUAUGUUUGAACUCGUUCCAGGAUGCUGGAUUUAUGAUAUUUUUUUUUCAACCAGGAAGAAUGCUCGAUUAGGCUGCAUUUUGCCUUGCCUUUCUCUCUUUCUCUCUCUCUCUGUCUCUCUCUCUUUCUCUCUCUAUUUCAGACUUCUUUCCACCAGAAGAUUGGAAACAAUAUUCUUUUCCGAUCAAUUCAAUAACACAAUGCUGUCAGUGUUCACAUGAACAUUUCAUUGGAGAAGAAAAGAAACUUUGCUACCUGGGAACUGAAGACUACUUAGCUCCUUCUGCUCUCUCUGCUUCCUGGGUGCAAUGCACUGAGCAGAUUUCUUCCACAGUCCCUUCUGUCAUGACAUUACUGCUUUGAAGCCAGCCAACCAUGGACUAAACCUUCUGAAACAGUGAGCCAAAUGAACUUCUUCUUUAAGUUUCUGGUGUCAGAUAUUUUUUUCCAGUGACAGGGAAGUAACUAAUACAGUAUAGUAAUAUUUAUUUUAACUUAAGACUUGAUGCGAGAACCCAGGAGAUUUUGGAUGUUAAAGUGUUGUAAAACUCCAAACAUUGUGCAUAUGGAGAUAGUUCAUCAUGCAUUAUCUGUGUUAUUUAUAAGUAUGCAAUAAUUGUUAUUUCAGUGAUCUAUGAUAUCAUAAUUACAAAUGUUUCUCAAUAUUUCCCCUUAAUAUUGUAACUUAUUUGGGAGUGUGACAAUCAACCUAUAGCUCACCACUGCAUAUCAAACAUUAACUUCAUUUCUGCUCUGUUUUGUCUCUCCUCACUUCCUAAAUGUUCUGCAGCUUUGCUCUGAGAGUUUCUUCAACCCUUAUCUCUGCCUCCGCUCCUCUCUAGCUUUGUCUAUGAACCUCUUUAAUCCAAGGCCUUAUUAGUAGGACUCUUGUUUCAUUACAUUUCAAAAAUGUUCAACUACCAGAACAAGGUGGAGGGUCUGGAGUGGUGCAGUGGGUAAAAAAGUAUCCGAGCUGGGAAGGGUGCUAAGUUUCAGACAUAUCCAUUCUGAAGAUGGAACAUGUUUUCCAAAAACACAGUACUGACAGCAGCAUACAUAAAGUUUAAGUCAGCUAACAGAAUAAUCAUGUAUUUUUAAUACAUGAUAAAUUAGUUUAUUUGUUUGGGUUAAUAUGGGAAUCUACAAACUAUUUAUGAAAAUUUUUACUUGGGAAAAUGUUGUAUGAAUUAUAAGGAGUGAGUUACAAACAAAUAUUUAGAGCUAAACAAAUUUAUAAGUUGAGACCUUUCUUGUCCUGGAUAUGAAAACCUUACUUCCAAAUGUAAUUUGUAGGAAUAUUUUAUCAUCAAUGCAAUGAGUUGUGACCACAGAUCAUUGUGGAACAGCAGAUAAUCUUGGGUCCUGGGCAGUGGAUGGGAAGGGACAGGAAGGGCUCUGCUGCUGUUUAUUCCUAUGAGACUGGAUAGCUAUGUAAACACUUAUUCCUCAUCUCCAAAAUGAAGAUAAUGAUAGCACUGUAGUACUCACUUAAGUGGGUUGUUGCAACCAAUGUUUUGUAGAAUAUAACAGGUUAUACAGAGAGAGUUGUUAACAUUAUCUUAGUGCAAUAUUAAAAUAGCUUUCCAGUUUUUUGAAUAGGCAAUACUGGCUUCUGAGUGAGGACUCCUAAAGGUAUGUUAAUUAAUGGUAGGAGGCCUAAGAAAUUCAGAAGAUCCAAAUUAUCACAAAUAAUCUGCUUAUGGACAAGAAAGAGUUGAUUACAUUGUAGUAUAUACAUACAAUGGAAUUUCGCACAGCCACAAAAAGAAAGGGAGUAUUGCAGCUGCCACAGCAUGGGUGAACCUUGUAAAUGCUAUGAUUAGGGAGAGAAGCCAGACACAAAAACCUACCUAUUGUGUGGUUCCAUUUAUAUGAAAUAGCCAGAACAGGUAAAGCCAUAGAAACCAAGAGCAGAUUGAUGCUUGUUGUGGGGUGGGGGAGAAAGCAAUGAAGAAUGCUAUUAGAUCUGGUGCUUAUUUUUAAGGAGAUAAAAACGUUUUGGAACUAGACAGGGGUGGUGGUUGUACAGUCUUGUGAAUAGACUAAGUGCCACUGAAAUCCAUGUUAUGUGCAUUUCACCUGAUUUAAAAAUACUGUUUUAAAAAAAGGAAAAUCCACUGAAAACAUUGACUAUAUAGGAAGCCUUCCUGAGUUCUUAUAAAGCCCUAGUCAUUUGGUUAGCUUUGUGAAGAAAUCCUCCCACUUCUCUUUAUUUUUUUUUAUGCCUUUUUUGGCCUUUUAGCAUCUUGAUAUUAUAUACCUCCAGGAGCAUACAAAUUGGUUGAGUGUUUUCUUUUAUUAUUUCAUUUAUUCAUAUACUCAUUCAUUUACUAGGUGCCAAGGUGAGUGAUAAUUAAUAUGUAGUCCAAGAAAGAGGCCAAAAAGUUGGUCAUACUAUGUGACUUUGAUACAUAACUUUACCUCUCUGGUUUUAGGGAGGCAUCAAGUGGGUGAUUUUUUAGGAUUCUUUCAGUUUUAAUAUUCUCAAUUUAAGAAAUGAAAAAUGCAUUAUUAGGUUUCCUUUAACUCUUCUGCCAGCUAAUUUCUCAGAUUCUUUUACUUUGAAUUCAUUCUUUCAAGCCUAGCUAGACAGACAAAAAAAUAAAUUACACUUUGAAUUAGCCUCAUCUUUUUCAUUAGAUUUCAAUAAGAGAAGAAAAUUCAUCUCCAUGUCUAUGGUGGAACUUCUCUGACCAGGGAUAAUCUUUCUUAAUGUUUUUCAAGACAAAAAAUGUCCAAAGCAGGAAAUUGAUAUACUUUUAAAGUUUGAAAAGCAUCAAAAUGAUUUCUAUCUUUAAUUAGAAUAUGUAAAAGAAAACAGACACUGCAAUAACUGAAUAGCCCAUCAAAACACUAUGUUCAAGGGUCAUUUAACAUUUCCAUGAUAAAUUGCUAUUUUUAGAAGCUUAUGUAACCAAACAAAGAAUGUGUUCUUGGCUAUGACCAGGAAGACAAGUUAUUAUCGUGGGAGGGACAAAGGAAUCUGAGCUGCUCAUGGGAGAGAGAGCCAAGUGCUGAGGACAUUUUAAAGAGCGCCCUUUCUCCUUAGUCUCCAUUUUCUGCAAUCAGCAUAAUGCAGUGCAUUUCAGGGCCAUUUUCAUUUUUGAAGCGCUCUUUCAUCAUUGGCUAAUAAAUACUUUUCAAUGAAUUUUCCUCCUUGUCUUGGAAGUUGGAGGAAAAAAGAAGGUAAUCGUUUUCUAUUUUGUAAGUAUCAUUCCCCUCUGGGCUUCCCUUUUUGUGCUUCUAAUGGAAACGUGAGAGAUAAAUUAUACUUGACCAUUGGAAAGGACCAACAACUAUUAUUCUUUCCAUAUAGAACACUUGGAAAUUUGCAUCAGAUAUUAAUGAACUUCAGUAACUACUCAAUCCUAAUAGCAGAAGGAAUGUCUGCCUUCCAUUACCAAGCUUUGUGCUGGUUAGUGUCUCCCUAGCACAGUUGAGAGGCAGGAUCCCUGGGACUCUUCAUCAGGAAGCACGGUGUGGCAGUUGAGCUGGGACGUGGUAAAGUCUGAGCAUGGGUCUCCAGUGGAGGAGCUAAUAGACUGUUUUCUAGGGUCAAAAAGUUAUGGGUUUGGUAUUUUCUAUUCUUUCCUAAUUUCCAUGCUUUUUUCCUGCAGCAUUUUAGCUCUAUUUAGAUUUGGCUGUAUUUGCAGCUUUUAUUGUGCUGCAUUUCACCACACGUACUUAGACAUGAUUCUAGACAAUUUUACCUGCUCUAGGGUUUUGAGGAAAGGCCCCUUGAUUUGUGGCAUCAGCCGUGUUUCACUGAGUUUCUGCUGCUCUGUUGUCUACAGUAAUGUGAUCUAACUUAAAUGAAAUACAAAUCACAGUGUGACUAUGUAAGUAAUUUCAAAUUUGAGGGUAAACCGUUUUAAAUAGUAAAAAUAAACAAGGGAAAUUGAGUUUAAUAAAUACUUUAUUUAAACCAAUAUAUCCACUAUAUUAUUAUGUAAUCAAUAUAAAAAUUUGUAAUAGGGUAGUUUAUAUUUUUAGUAAGUUUGUGAAUUUUAAAGGUAUUUAUACCUAAAACAUAUCUUGAUUUGAACUGCCCACAUUUCAGGUAUUCAACAGUUGUCUUUCAUAUGGCUAGUGACCAUCGUAUUGGAUGGUGUAGGGCUGUCAUCAUGGAUGGUCAACAAUUUUUUAAUAAAUGCUUUUAAAUUCAAAAGCAUUUCUGAAAGUCAAAAUCUGUGGCAAACUACUGUCAGUUUUGUCUUAAUGAAGCACAGGUAUCCAUUUUUAACCACUGUUUUACUUUUUAUACUUUUAGAUACUUAUAGUUAACCCUGGUCUGCAAAUAGUGAGCAAAAAAUUCCAGAAAUGAACAAAAUUCAUGUUUUAAAUUGUGUGCUCUUCUAAGCAGUGUGAUGAAAUAAACCAUCCCAGUCUAUAGUGCCUUGUAUGUCAACCAUCCCCUUGUCUAGCAUACCUGUGCAGUAUACUGUCCAUCCAUUUGUCACUUAGGAGCCACAUAAUUUAUCUGAUUGACUGUCAUGAUAUCACAGUGCAUCUGUGGAGUUUGGUACUAUCCAUAGUUUCGGGUAUCCACUUCUGAUCUUAAACAUUUCUCCAUGGAUGAUGAGGAGGGACUACUGUAAAUAAAUUAUGGCUUCUCUUCUUUUUUCAGGAGUAGGAGAAUGUUGGUGGGUUAUAGCAUUUAUUUUUUUCAAAAUUAAUUUUACUG